rnacentral:rRNA from 1 species
UAGCCUUGACAUACUACAGAAUUUGACAAAGAUGUUGAAGUGCCUUCGGGAGCUGUAAUACAGGUGCUGCACGGCUGUCGUCAGCUCGUGUCGUGAGAUGUUGGGUUAAGUCCCGCAACGAGCGCAACCCUCGUCCUUAGUUACUAACGGUUCGGCCGAGGACUCUAAGGAGACUGCCUUCGUAAGGAGGAGGAAGGUGAGGACGACGUCAAGUCAUCAUGGGCCUUACGGCUAGGGCAACACACGUGCUACAAUGGGCAGGACAAUGAGAAGCGAUACCGCGAGGUGGAGCAAAUCUAUAAACCUAAUCUCAGUUCGGAUAGCAGUCUGCAACUCGACUGCUUGAAGCUGGAAUCACUAGUAAUCGUAAAUCAGCUAUGUUACGGUGAAUACGUUCCCGGGUCU